UGUGAAGUUACUUAAACAACCAGGAGGUUGGCUUAGAAGCAGCCAUCCUUUAAAGAAAGCGUAAUAGCUCACUGGUCUAGUGAUUUUGCGCGGAAAAUAUAACGGGGCUAAAGUAAGUACCGAAGCUGUAGACUUAGUUUACUAAGUGGUAGGAGAGCGUUCUAUUUGCGUCGAAGGUAUACCGGUAAGGAGUGCUGGAGCGAAUAGAAGUGAGCAUGCAGGCAUGAGUAGCGAUAAUUAAUGUGAGAAUCAUUAACGCCGUAAACCCAAGGUUUCCUACGCGAUGCUCGUCAUCGUAGGGUUAGUCGGGUCCUAAGUCGAGUCCGAAAGGGGUAGACGAUGGCAAAUUGGUUAAUAUUCCAAUACCAACAUUAGUGUGCGAUGGAAGGACGCUUAGGGCUAAGGGGGCUAGCGGAUGGAAGUGCUAGUCUAA
rnacentral:rRNA from 1 species